CCCCUGGGACACUGCUCAAGAUGCUGACUGCCAGGGAGCCCAUCGCCAAUUUGUGGUGGCCCCCAGGCAGGACAGGGCCAAGGACUAGCUGGUCCUGUGCGGGACCCACCACAGCAGCGUGCUAACCCCUGCUGACAGACAGCGGUGGCACCGGCCAGGAGUCCGCGGAAGCCAGGUCUCCAGCCUGGAAGGCAAGGAUUCUCCCACUUGGCACUUAUUCCCUGGACCCAGUCUCUGGAUCUGGAGGGAGCGGAUGAGCGAGGGGACCUGCCUGCAGCCCUGGUUUCUGGCAUGGGGCUGUGGGGUGACUGUGUGGGCUUGGGAGAGUCAUUUCUACCCCUCUUAUUCUCCGCCAGCCUCUGGCCACCAGAAGGCAGCUCCUCACUGCUGUGCUUCCUCCCCAUGCAGCAAUGGUGGUGAAGGCCGUGGGACCCCUGUCCUGAAAGGGCCAGGCCACAAUGACCAUGUGCUGUAUUCCAUGUCACUUCGGCCCCUUUGGCAGCAGCUCUGCCCAGCGACCGUGUGUCUGACCCCCAAACUGAGGUGUGUGGUCAGCGCAUCCGACAGGUGAACCAAGAGCAGAGUGGGCUCUUGGGAUCGGAAAGGGAUUUCUUCUGGGAAACCCGUUCACCCUGCCGACCCGGCCUGUCCCGCGCACCCCCUUCAGGGCCAGGUCCUUCUGGACCGGCCCUGGCCCUGGGUCCCCUGCUGCUGUUCCUGUCAGGGGCGUCUCCUCACAGGUCUCAUCGACCUCGCAGACCUCAGCCCUGUCUUCUUUCUUCAUCAACAAACCUUCUCUGCUUACAAGACAGGAGCUCCAGGGACACAGUGGAUUAAGUGACAGGCUGCCAGCCAGAGGGUCAGCGGUUCGACCCAUCGAGGCAUCACUGGCUUUGCUGCUCUGGGGAACCCAACCUAACACAAAGGCCGAAGCCCUGGGGACGCGUGGUGACAGCUCUCCCCCAGCUGCUUUAAGAGGGGUCCAUGGCCACCCGUACCCGCUUGUGUCAGUGGCGUAGUGACUGCAGCUUGCGGUUGGCCGGAAACCAGUUCCUUCCACUCCGGAAUCCAGGAACGUGUGUUCUAAUCCAUGUGAACAUGAGUGGCAGCUGAUUAUUCUUAUUUUUAAAAUCCAGAACGUGACAAGUCAAAUCUCCUUAAAAUCGUACCCCGCUUUUGCCAGGCCUACCCAUGGGAUGAUGUGUAAUACACGCUUCUCUCAGACGCCCUCGCUGACGCUAGCCGAGAGGGAGAAUGCCAAAGUAAUGGUCCUUCAAGGAAACGGCAGACACAGAGCCAGCGACCAAGCUGCAAAGAACAAAGACACAAUCGGAGGACUGUCACUCUCAGACCCAAAGUGAUCUACUUCCCAGGCACACUGAAUGGCAGCCUCUGGGCCGGUGAAUUCUGGGAUUGGACCCCACGUUCUCCAAGAGCCACGGUGAGUCACUCCUGACGUGAUGGCACCUGACAACCACAACAAACAACAGGUAGCUGUUUUCAGUUCCUUGAAGAACCGAAACACCAUGUUCCACCGUGGCUGUACCAUUUCGUCAAGAAAUAGUUGUGUCAGAAGAAAGAAAAUGUUUUGAGACUGAUUGUAGUAGCAAUUGUACAAGUAUGCUCAAUAUAUUUCAGUUAUGGAAUGUUAUGACAUCUGUAAACGCGCCCAAUAAAACGAUGACUAAUAAUAAUAAAAAGAAAGGGUUGA